rnacentral:tRNA from 1 species
AACUUUGUAUUUGAAAAACAAAAUUAAACUGCAGAUUUAAAAGUACAUUUAUAUGUCAAAGUUU